rnacentral:rRNA from 1 species
GUCCACGCUGUAAACGAUGAUCACUAGGUAUUAGAGGAUUUGACCCCUUUGGUGCCGCAGCUAACGCAUUAAGUGAUCCGCCUGGGGAGUACGGUCGCAAGACUAAAACUCAAAGGAAUUGACGGGGGCCCGCACAAGCGGUGGAGUAUGUGGUUCAAUUCGACGCAACGCGAAGAACCUUACCCUGGAUUAGAAAUCAACUGGAAGCUCUGCAGAGAUGUGGAGCGUCCCCGCAAGGGGACUGGUUGACAGGUGCUGCAUGGCUGUAGU